GGGCUGCCCUCCAUCAUAUCCACCUCCGGGUUGGAGGGAAUGGGGUCAGCUUAAUCUCUAGUCUUGUAGGACGGGGCUGCUGAAAAUUCAGAGCCCGUUUCCUCAUCGCCUAAGGAUGUGUGAGCCCGCACACCCUCUCUAGGGAGGAGGGCUCACGUGUUUGAGUCAACGGUAUGGACUGUUCCAAGGGAAUGUCCAUGUCUUCCCCAAUAUCCCUUCAUCUCCUGAGACGGCGUCCUUAGAUUAUGCCUCAGAAGCUGAGGCUAUCACCAAGAGUACGUCCUCUAGAUGGAUGUCCUCCUGAAAAAAAGGCCACCGCUGCUUCCUCUCCUUCAAAGGAUGGAGGGCGCAGCUGGCACAUUGCGGGGGAUCCGUGAGGCCGCUCCUGGUGUGCUGUGGUCCCAAACCCAAGAAACAUAGGUCGCGUGAGUCCACAAACACCGCCAUUGAAGAGCAGCUACACUGAGCUCUGACUGAGCUUUUGGGGGUGUUAGUUUCCAACCCUGCUCCUAAACUUGUGUUAACGUCAGACUUUAUUUUCGCUGUUUAUUCCAAAACGUUAUUCUUUCCCUAUUUAUUUUUCCCAAAGGGAUGGCUGAAUGAACCAGAGAUUUCCGAGUUCCCAGUUGUUCUGAACAUGGCACCAGUUGUCUUGAAAGCACCACAAACCCGCAAAGUAGGCUUAGUCUUGCUAUGCUUUCAAACCUGCAGUAAACAUGCACGACAGAAACAAACCAUUUUAGCUUCUCAUGCAUUGAAAAAUGCAUCCUUUCGUUGUAUCCCCCCUCCCCAACAAAAACAGAAG
rnacentral:lncRNA from 1 species